CCUACGGGAGGCAGCAGUGGGGGAUAUUGCACAAUGGGGGAAACCCUGAUGCAGCGACGCCGCGUGGGCGAAGAAGUAUUUCGGUAUGUAAAGCCCUAUCAGCAGGGAAGAAAAAAUGACGGUACCUCAGUAAGAAGCACCGGCUAAAUACGUGCCAGCAGCCGCGGUAAUACGGAUGGUGCAAGCGUUAUCCGGAUUUACUGGGUGUAAAGGGAGCGCAGGCGGCACGGCAAGCCUGAUGUGAAAGCCGGCGGCCCCACCGCAGGACUGCAUUGGGAACUACCGGGCUGGAGUGCCGGAGAGGUAGGCGGAAUUCCUAGUGUAGCGGUGAAAUGCGUAGAUAUUAGGAGGAACACCAGUGGCGAAGGCGGCCUACUGGACGGUGACUGACGCUGAGGCUCGAAAGCGUGGGGAGCAAACAGGAUUAGAUACCCUUGUAGUC
rnacentral:rRNA from 1 species